rnacentral:rRNA from 1 species
AACGAACGCUGGCGGCAUGCCUAACACAUGCAAGUCGAACGAGACCUUCGGGUCUAGUGGCGCACGGGUGCGUAACGCGUGGGAAUCUGCCCUUGGGUCCGGAAUAACUCAGAGAAAUUUGAGCUAAUACCGGAUGAUGACGCAAGUCCAAAGAUUUAUCGCCCAGGGAUGAGCCCGCGUAGGAUUAGCUAGUUGGUGAGGUAAAGGCUCACCAAGGCGACGAUCCUUAGCUGGUCUGAGAGGAUGAUCAGCCACACUGGGAC